AAGGAGGGAGGGAAGGGGAAGAAUGGCAGGGGAAGAGAGAGAGAGAGAGAGAGAGAGAGAGAGAGAGAGAGAGAGAGAGAGAGAGAGAGAGAGAGAGAACAUACUCAACCAUUAUUUAAAAGUCUCAAUAUCCUAAACCUUGCUGAUUUAUCUCAACUCUCCAUUGCAUCAUUCAUGUACAAAACAUUAAAUUUAAGUAAUUACAAUACACAAUCUUUUCACAAUUACUAAACUCGAAACCAGUAUUCACUCUACAUUCCCAGACCUAAUUUAACACUGUUCAAACACUCCACCAUGUAUAUAGGACCUAAGAUUUGGAAUUAUUUACCAGGUGAUAUAAAACAAUCAAAGAGUCUAUCUUGCUUCAAAACAAAAUUAAAGAGUCAUUUGUUAUAUGCUUAUUAGUUAUACACAUGUUAUACGCUUGUUAUAUGUUAUAAGUUAUACGCUAGCUCAUCAGACAUUACCCUCAUGUACUAGUAUCAUUACAGUAGUCAAUAAUUCAUGUGUAAUGGCAAUAGUGAAAAGUAUAUCUAAUAAUAUACUAUAUUUUACUUCGGCAAAUCACUUGUCUGCUAGAUGGUGCCGUUCACAUGAGAUACACUACACUUCGCCACACAGUCAGUUACUGCGCAGACACCACACAAGUCGGACGUCGGUCUCGCCUCCUGUUAAGUUGUUACGACUUCUGUUAUCGACUGACUGUGUGGCGAAGUGUAGUGUAUCUCAUGUGAACCCUACCAUCUAGCAGACGCGAUGUGCCUCGCAAAAUCCGAAGCACAUUUCAACUAACCUACGCAGACUCCUGUGUAGUGGGAUGGCAGCAAAAAACAAGCCCACCUCAACCCACAACUGUCCUCUGCUCUGAAUCUUAAAUGACAAAAUUUACUGUAAUUUUGUUUUCAGCUUUCUCAGAAGACAUAUGAAUAUACU